AUUGGGCGUAGCGGGCUCGCAGGCGGUUUCUUAAGUCUGAUGUGAAAGCCCCCGGCUCAACCGGGGAGGGUCAUUGGAAACUGGGAAACUUGAGUGCAGAAGAGGAGAGUGGAAUUCCACGUGUAGCGGUGAAAUGCGUAGAGAUGUGGAGGAACACCAGUGGCGAAGGCGACUCUCUGGUCUGUAACUGACGCUGAGGAGCGAAAGCGUGGGGAGCGAACAGGAUUAGAUACCCUGGUAGUCCACGCCGUAAACGAUGAGUGCUAAGUGUUAGGGGGUUUCCGCCCCUUAGUGCUGCAGCUAACGCAUUAAGCACUCCGCCUGGGGAGUACGGUCGCAAGACUGAAACUCAAAGGAAUUGACGGGGGCCCGCACAAGCGGUGGAGCAUGUGGUUUAAUUCGAAGCAACGCGAAGAACCUUACCAGGUCUUGACAUCCUCUGACAACCCUAGAGAUAGGGCUUUCCCUUCGGGGACAGAGUGACAGGUGGUGCAUGGUUGUCGUCAGCUCGUGUCGUGAGAUGUUGGGUUAAGUCCCGCAACGAGCGCAACCCUUGAUCUUAGUUGCCAGCAUUCAGUUGGGCACUCUAAGGUGACUGCCGGUGACAAACCGGAGGAAGGUGGGGAUGACGUCAAAUCAUCAUGCCCCUUAUGACCUGGGCUACACACGUGCUACAAUGGACAGAACAAAGGGCUGCGAGACCGCAAGGUUUA
rnacentral:rRNA from 1 species